rnacentral:rRNA from 1 species
UACGAAGGGGGCUAGCGUUGUUCGGAAUCACUGGGCGUAAAGCGCACGCAGGCGGAUCGAUAAGUCGGGGGUGAAAGCCCGGGGCUCAACCUCGGAACUGCCUUCGAUACUGUCGGUCUCGAGUCCGGGAGAGGUGAGUGGAAUUCCUAGUGUAGAGGUGAAAUUCGUAGAUAUUAGGAAGAACACCAGUGGCGAAGGUGGAUCACUGGCCCGGUAGUGACGUUCAGGUGCGAAAGCGUGGGGAGCAAACAGG